CAAAUGUGAGCAACCCAUCAGAGAGAGAGAAAGAGAGAGAGAGAGAGAGGGGGAGAGAGUGAGAGUGAGAGAGUGAGAGUGAGAGAGAGAAGUCUAAAAAAGCAUAAAGACCUCAUUUCGCUUCCCUUUUGCUCUCUCCUCACAAAUACUCUCUUAAACCCUCUUUCUCUUCGUUCUCUAACUUUCGCGGCAUCCAAAAAUCGCCCCGCUGUACCAGAAAUUGCUUCAUGCGGUGGGGCACCACCAGACCUCCUCAUUCUACCCUUAUUUUCUUCCUCUUUUCACCCAAUUUCUAACCAUAACCUUCAAAUUGUCAAAACCCAACCCAAAACCCUCAAAUCAAAACAAACAUAUGAAACCCUAAAAUGUCUGAAAUGAAAUUAAAUCUUAGAUGUUCACCAUUUCAAUUAAUUAGGGAAGGACUAUGGAUUAACAAGUCAAAGCGUUCAUCAUGGUAUCAAGAAUGAAGAGAAAUAACACUUACCAACGGGAAUGUAAAGAUUCAUGGUAAUGAUUAUCACUGAUGAAGAGAGCGAAAAAGAAACCCAGAGGAAGCUUGGAGAUUCAGUUUGGCCUGGCUUGGUGAUAGCUUGGGGUUUGCCUUGAGCAACUUGCUUGGAGAGGAUGAAAAGGUACGAAUCAUGAAGCGCCAAUGAUGAUGGAGCUGACUUGGUUUAAGUUGGUUAGGCUUGUUCAUGAAGACUAAUUGGGAGCUUAAUUUGCAGCUGAAACUUUUAAGUGUGAAGCUUAGGCUUAAAGGAAAUUUGGCUUAAAGCUACACCGAUUUUUGUUGUCAUUUUCUGAAAUAUCAUAUUAUAUGUAUGUAGAUAAUAUGUAUGCAAAAAGAAAAGAAUGUGUAGUGAAUAGAGUGAUAAAGUGUUAGUGUGUAUUUGUGAUGUAAAAGAAUAUUGAUCAAUAAAAAAGUCUCUUUUCUUUAUUUCAAA